rnacentral:piRNA from 1 species
UGACAAAAUGGAGCCUGAAGAGAAGCUAU